UACGUAGGGUGCGAGCGUUGUCCGGAAUUAUUGGGCGUAAAGAGCUCGUAGGCGGUGUGUCACGUCGGCCGUGAAAACCUGUAGCUUAACUGUGGGCGUGCGGUCGAUACGGGCAUCACUGGAGUUCGGCAGGGGAGACUGGAAUUCCUGGUGUAGCGGUGAAAUGCGCAGAUAUCAGGAGGAACACCGGUGGCGAAGGCGGGUCUCUGGACAGUUCCUGACACUGAGACACGAAGGCCAGGGGAGCAAACGGG
rnacentral:rRNA from 1 species